rnacentral:lncRNA from 1 species
GGUUUCCUUGGCUCCUUCCCAUCCGGCGCGUGCAACAAGGUGGUUCUUUUUCUUGGCGAUUAUAUGCUAAUUUUUAUUUGCUAGUAAAUUUGUGCUACAUCCUAAUUUUACUAUCAAGUAGAUCUAUGUUGCAUCUCUUGUUCUAUUUUUUGUUCAUGUCAAAUCUUCUCAGUGAACGAUGCAUAAUAACUUCGAUUUGAUGAUGUAUUGCUACUGUGCUAGGCAUUUUGGUACUCUAAUUUGGAAGUUUUAUUUCAGUCAUACAUAAUCUGGAGAAUCAAGUUCGAAGAUUGAGUCUGGUCAGAUAACUUCGGCAUCUUGCAGUUUAGAACAAUUCACUAAAAGUUUUAAUACUUGCAGUUCUGUAUUACAAAAUCAAUAGCAAAAAAUAAAAUGAAAUUGUGCAUUUAUCAGCAUAUCAAAAUCCUAAUUCAUUGCUAAAAUUGCUCCAGUUUAACAGAGAAUAAUAAUGAGUGUCCUAGUAUAUAUGAAUUAUGAUUACCAAAGAAGGUGGCAUCGAGGGUCGGCAAAUUGUGCAUCGAAUACUAAGAGUCAACAAUUGGAAGUGUCCUAGUAUAUAUGCUGACACACAGACUGUUGCCAUAGGUGGUGGGCUCCUCUGCUCCUUCCAAACCGACCUGUGUGACGUGGUGCAAACCUACAAGGCGUCACCAUGGUGGUUAAUUUCCCUGGUAAAUAGAUGUUAUUUGAUUUAGCUAGUACAUUUGUGCUUGAUCUCAAUUUUUAUUAGCUAGUUGAUUUAUGCCGCAUCUCUAUAGUUCUAUUUUCUUGUACUUGUUCAUGUCAAACCUGCUCAUGUGUGAAUGAUGCAUAUUAGUAACUUCAUUUGAUUAUGUAUUGCUACUGUUUGUGGUGGUUUAAAAGUAUAUUUUGGUUUUCUGUUUCACUGUUAAGUACUCUGGAGAACCAAGCACAACCAUUUGUUUCAUUGUUACUGCAUUUCACAUUUUUCCUACAGCUUUGAGAUGUUAUUAUGAGUUGUGAGCCACCAGAAAAGCAAGGUUCUCGUUUGUUGUUUGAAAUAUAAAUGGUAUCAGGCUACAUGAGUCAUGUCAAUUGAUUUCUUGUUGUUAGUCUUUAAUGUCGGUUUUCACUAAGAAAGAUUGAUCGUCAUAGAUCCUAUAACUCAUGAAAAAUUGUUGACAACAAGUAUACUGAUG